AUACGUAGGUGGCAAGCGUUGUCCGGAAUUAUUGGGCGUAAAGCGCAUGUAGGCGGUGCCUUAAGUCUGUCGUGAAACUGCGGGGCCUAACCCCGUAUGGCGAUGGAAACUGGGGUGCUUGAGUGCAGGAGAGGAAAGGGGAACUCCCAGUGUAGCGGUGAAAUGCGUAGAUAUUGGGAAGAACACCGGUGGCGAAGGCGCCUUUCUGGACUGUGUCUGACGCUGAGAUGCGAAAGCCAGGGUAGCGAACGGGAUUAGAUACCCCGGUAGUCCUGGCCGUAAACGAUGGGUACUAGGUGUGGGAGGUAUCGACCCCUUCCGUGCCGGAGUUAACGCAAUAAGUACCCCGCCUGGGGAGUACGGCCGCAAGGCUUAAACUCAAAUGAAUUGACGGGG
rnacentral:rRNA from 1 species